AAAAUUCCACGGGCACAAAGGCUUGGUCCGGAUUUUAUUUUCCGCCAUAACCCAACUUAAACAUGCAAGUUUCCGCAUCCCUGUGGGAAAGCCCUCAAUCCCCCGCCCGGGGACGAGGAGCAGGCAUCAGGCACAACCCACAGCCCAAGACGCCUUGCUACGCCACACCCCCAAGGGAACUCAGCAGUAAUAAACAUUAAGCCAUAAGUGCAAACUUGACUUAGUCAGGGUUUAGAGGGUCGGUAAAAUUCGUGCCAGCCACCGCGGUUAUACGAAAGACCCCAGUUGAUAAACACGGCGUAAAGGGUGGUUAAGGGAAACAACUAAUAAAGCUAAAGACCCUCUAAGCCGUCAUACGCACUCCGAGGUCACGAAACCCAAACACGAAAGUAGCUUUAAACCUAUAACACCUGACCCCACGAAAGCUAAGAAACAAACUGGGAUUAGAUACCCCACUAUGCUUAGCCAUAAACCUAGAUGUACACUUACACACACAUCCGCCAGGGUACUACAAGCAUAGCUUAAAACCCAAAGGACUUGGCGGUGUCUCAGACCCACCUAGAGGAGCCUGUUCUAGAACCGAUAACCCCCGUUAAACCUCACCACUUCUUGUUCUUACCCGCCUAUAUACCGCCGUCGUCAGCUUACCCUGUGAAGGUAUAACAGUAAGCAAAAUGGGCCCGCCCAAAAACGUCAGGUCGAGGUGUAGCGUACGAAGUGGAAAGAAAUGGGCUACAUUUUCUAAAUCAGAAUAUUACGAACGGCACCCUGAAAAAAUGCCUGAAGGUGGAUUUAGUAGUAAAAAGCAAACAGAGUGUUCUUUUGAAUUAGGCUCUGAGACGCGCACACACCGCCCGUCACUCUCCCCUACACCAAUUUAAACCAACUAUUCCUAAUAAUACACCUAAAAACACGGGGAGGCAAGUCGUAACAUGGUAAGUGUACCGGAAGGUGCACUUGGAAUAACCAGGACGUGGCUGAGACAGAUAAGCAUCUCCCUUACACCGAGAAGACAUCCAUGCAAGUUGGAUCGCCCUGAGCUAAAAAGCUAGCUUAAACACCCAGACACCAAAAACAACAUUAAAACACCUUACAAAAACACAACACCAAAAACUAAAACAUUUUCCCGCCCAAGUACGUGAGACAGAAAAGGCUCCACCCAAAGCAAUAAUGAAA
rnacentral:ncRNA from 1 species